CAGUUACCACACCUCAGCAUCUGAAACACGCUGAAACAGUUUCUCCGAAUUGAAACAGAAAACAGCGCUUGUGUGUAGGAUAGCACAUGGCUAAAAGAACUGGAACAUGUGAGCUGUUCUAUUUUGUGAAUCUCAAGAAGUACUGAAGUCCUAAAUCACCAAUUCUUCUAACUUUCUGGCCAUUGAUCCGCGGGAAUUCGUAGUUCAGCA